CUCAGUCCCACCACUUGGUGAUUAAAGUGAAUUUCUUUGAGUUUAAGGAAUUUGAGCACCGUGUUGUAGGAUGCUUUGAGUAGAAUAUUAGCUGGCCAAUUGAAAUAGAAGGUGAAGAAAAAAAAACAGAGCAGAAGAAAUAUUUGAAGUAAUAAUGGAUGACAAUUUUCCAAAAGUAACAACACACACCAAAUACAAAUCCAAAGAGCUCAGAGAAUACCAAGGAGGAUAAAUAUCAAAUUCUACGCUUAGACAUAUAUUAUUCAAACUGCAGGAAAGCAAAGACAGAGACAUCUUGAAAGGAGCCCAAAGGUGAACAAAACACCUUACCUAGAGAGAAAUAAAGACAAGAAUUACAUGGACUGCUCAUCAGAAACUGUGCAAGAAAGAAGAGAGUGGGGUAAAAUAUUCAAAGAGUUUAUAGUAAGGAAAAUUAUCCAAAUCUAGAUUUCUAUAUUCAGUGAAAUUAUCCUUCAGUGGUGAAGAAGAAAUAAAGACAUUUUCAGACAAACUAAAACUAAGGAGCUUCAUGGCCUUUUAAGUAAUGUUAAAAGAAGUUCUUCAAGGAGAAGAAAAAUUAUAUAGGUCCAUCUAUGUUGUUGGAAGUGGUAGGAUUGCCCUCUUUUUUGAUGCUGAACAGUGAUGGAUGGUCAUUCAGGUGGAG
rnacentral:lncRNA from 1 species